AGCGAACGCUGGCGGCGUGCUUAACACAUGCAAGUCGAGCGAAGGUGUUUCAAGAGUAACCUUGAGAUACACUUAGCGGCGGACGGGUGAGUAAUACGUGGAUAACUUACCUCUAGGCCUGGGAUAACCCCGGGAAACUGGGGCUAAUACCUGAUAAGACCACAUUGUCUACGGACAAAGGGGUAAAAGGUGGCUGUGCAAACAGCUAUCGCCAAAAAUAGGUUCACGUCCCAUCAGGCAGUGGUGAGGUAAUGGCUCACCAAACCAAAGACGGGUAGCCGGCCUUGGCGGGUGAACGGCCACACGGGGACUGAGACACGGCCCCGACUCCUACGGGAGGCAGCAGUGGGGAAGUAUUGGGCAAUGGGCGCAAGCCUGACCCAGCGACGUCGCGUUGGGGAAGAAGGCCUUCGGUU
rnacentral:rRNA from 1 species